GCCGACGUAGCUCAGCUGGUAGAGCACUUCAUUCGUAAUGAAGGGGUCAUCGGUUCGAUCCCGAUCGUCGGCU
rnacentral:tRNA from 1 species